rnacentral:tRNA from 1 species
GGUGGCUCAGUAGGAAAGCACUUGCCUUACAUGCCAGAGGCCUUGGGUUCGAUUCCCAGCACCA